GAUGAACGCUGGCUACAGGCUUAACACAUGCAAGUCGAGGGGAAACGACGGGGAAGCUUGCUUCCCCGGGCGUCGACCGGCGCACGGGUGAGUAACGCGUAUCCAACCUGCCUCUGACUGAGGGAUAACCCGUCGAAAGUCGGCCUAAUACCUCAUGGCAUCGUCUGCGGGCAUCCAACGACGAUUAAAGAUUUCAUCGGUCAGGGAUGGGGAUGCGUCUGAUUAGCUUGUUGGCGGGGUAACGGCCCACCAAGGCUACGGUCAGUAGGGGUUCUGAGAGGAAGGUCCCCCACAUUGGAACUGAGACACGGUCCAAACUCCUACGGGAGGCAGCAGUGAGGAAUAUUGGUCAAUGGGCGGGAGCCUGAACCAGCCAAGUAGCGUGCAGGAUGACGGCCCUAUGGGUUGUAAACUGCUUUUAUGCGGGGAUAAAGUGAGGGACGUGUCCUUCAUUGCAGGUACCGCAUGAAUAAGGACCGGCUAAUUCCGUG
rnacentral:rRNA from 1 species